rnacentral:rRNA from 1 species
UACGAAGGGGGCUAGCGUUGCUCGGAAUUACUGGGCGUAAAGCGCACGUAGGCGGCUUUCUAAGUCGGGGGUGAAAUCCUGGAGCUCAACUCCAGAACUGCCUUCGAUACUGGAGAGCUCGAGUCCGGGAGAGGUGAGUGGAACUGCGAGUGUAGAGGUGAAAUUCGUAGAUAUCGGGAGGAACACCAGUGGCGAAGGCGGCGAUCUGGGAAGAUACUGACGCUGAGGUGCGAAAGCGUGGGGAGCAAACAGG